AAGAUGAUGAAAUUUAGUGAAACUUCUUUCCAUGUCUGAUUUUCGACUAUGAUUUUCUUUUAUAGACAGACAAUAAUUCACAAGACAGUGUUCAUUUCAAUGUAUGAAAAGAAAGUAAAAUUUUUUUUCUUGUUGAAUGAACUUAUACUUGCCAGUAUUAAUUUACGUUUCUGAUUU